CCUACGGGAGGCAGCAGUGGGGAAUAUUGGACAAUGGGCGAAAGCCUGAUCCAGCCAUGCCGCGUGUGUGAAGAAGGCCUUCGGGUUGUAAAGCACUUUCAGUGGGGAAGAAAGCCUUGGGGCUAAUACCCUCGAGGAAGGACAUCACCCACAGAAGAAGCACCGGCUAACUCCGUGCCAGCAGCCGCGGUAAUACGGAGGGUGCGAGCGUUAAUCGGAAUUACUGGGCGUAAAGCGCGCGUAGGCGGUCUGAUAAGCCGGUUGUGAAAGCCCCGGGCUCAACCUGGGAACGGCAUCCGGAACUGUCAGGCUAGAGGGCAGGAGGGGAAGGUAGAAUUCCCGGUGUAGCGGUGAAAUGCGUAGAGAUCGGGAGGAAUACCAGUGGCGAAGGCGGCCUUCUGGACUGACACUGACGCUGAGGUGCGAAAGCGUGGGUAGCAAACAGGAUUAAUACCCGGGUAGUC
rnacentral:rRNA from 1 species